UAACAUGAUUUGAUUCUUUAAAACCAGGCAAUAGAGAGAAAACAGAGCAGAUCAUGGAUAGCAAAUGGUUCAAUUGUAGAUAGAAGACACAUGAUGCAAGGUGUUAACUGAUGUGACUAUGUAUCCAUCACCAGGAAUCCCAAGAGCAACAUGGAAGUCUCCAUCAGUAGGCAUGCAAUGAAUCAAAACAAGAGUGAGUUGUGAAAUCAAAUGUCUACAAAUGACAGCUGGCUAGUGACUGGAGAAACACAUCUGUCCUGUCUUACUGAUGGCCUAUGAUGUGGUGUAGCAUUUGGAAUUUUCCAUUGCAGUUUUCAAAGUCAUCUCCAAAGUUUAUGGUAUCAGUAUUAGAUUGGAAAAUCAUACUCUAAAACUUUAUUUUAAAGAAAGACUGGUGAAUCAUAAUAGACAAAUGAUUACAAAAAUAAAGGCAAGAAAAGUUAUGAACUGCUGAACUGAAGAAGAUAAAGGAUUUCACUUCUAAGUGGAAAUCACAAACUUGUAGAGACAAAGAAAAUGUUCAUGAUGGGACACACCUCGGUUCAAAUGCUGGACUGGUUCCACCCACUCUUUCAACCAUUACACUUAUUUUCAAAGUCCAAGACUUGCCUGAUAUGGGCUGUCAUAUGGAGACACACUAGCUUGGAAAGACAUGCAAGGAAGCAAUAGUUACUCCUGAAGACUUGGAGAGACCCCUCAGAAGCUUCACGGGACAGGAGUCAGUCACCAACUAUGUCUUACCAUAGUGCCUAGGAAUGUGACAACCAGACACCAGAGGGUCAUAGCUUCGAAACUUGCCAAGACAUCCGAGACAAUUUGAAUAAAUGUAUUAAGGAAAUAAUAAGCCUAUUUAUUUUUAUUCACCAAAUACCUUGGGACAAGUUUAUUUAUUGUACUAAUUGUUUGAGUAUGGAUGGG
rnacentral:lncRNA from 1 species